rnacentral:rRNA from 1 species
UACGUAGGUGGCAAGCGUUGUCCGGAUUUACUGGGCGUAAAGGGAGCGUAGGCGGACUUUUAAGUGAGAUGUGAAAUACCCGAGCUCAACUUGGGUGCUGCAUUUCAAACUGGAAGUCUAGAGUGCAGGAGGGGAGAAUGGAAUUCCUAGUGUAGCGGUGAAAUGCGUAGAGAUUAGGAAGAACACCAGUGGCGAAGGCGAUUCUCGGGACUGUAACUGACGCUGAGGCUCGAAAGCGUGGGGAGCAAACAGG